UGGGGAAUAUUGCACAAUGGGCGAAAGCCUGAUGCAGCGACGCCGCGUGAGUGAAGAAGGUCUUCGGAUCGUAAAACUCUGUCCUUGGUGAAGAAAAAAAUGACGGUAGCCAAGGAGGAAGCCCCGGCUAACUACGUGCCAGCAGCCGCGGUAAUACGUAGGGGGCGAGCGUUGUCCGGAUUUACUGGGCGUAAAGGGUGAGUAGGCGGUUGUAUAAGUCAGAUGUAAAAGGCGUAGGCUCAACUUACGUAAGCAUUUGAAACUGUACAACUUGAGUGCAGGAGAGGUAAGUGGAAUUCCUAGUGUAGCGGUGAAAUGCGUAGAUAUUAGGAGGAACACCAGUGGCGAAGGCGACUUACUGGACUGUAACUGACGCUGAGUCACGAAAGCGUGGGUAGCAAACAGG
rnacentral:rRNA from 3 species